AGAGUUUGAUCCUGGCUCAGAUUGAACGCUGGCGGCAUGCCUUACACAUGCAAGUCGAACGGUAACGCGGGGCAACCUGGCGACGAGUGGCGAACGGGUGAGUAAUGCAUCGGAACGUGCCCAGUAGUGGGGGAUAGCCCGGCGAAAGCCGGAUUAAUACCGCAUACGACCUACGGGUGAAAGCGGGGGAUCGCAAGACCUCGCGCUAUUGGAGCGGCCGAUGUCAGAUUAGGUUGUUGGUGGGGUAAAAGCCUACCAAGCCGACGAUCUGUAGCUGGUCUGAGAGGACGACCAGCCACACUGGGACUGAGACACGGCCCAGACUCCUACGGGAGGCAGCAGUGGGGAAUUUUGGACAAUGGGGGCAACCCUGAUCCAGCCAUGCCGCGUGCGGGAAGAAGGCCUUCGGGUUGUAAACCGCUUUUGUCAGGGAAGAAACGCUUUGAGCUAAUACCUCGAGGUAAUGACGGUACCUGAAGAAUAAGCACCGGCUAACUACGUGCCAGCAGCCGCGGUAAUACGUAGGGUGCAAGCGUUAAUCGGAAUUACUGGGCGUAAAGCGUGCGCAGGCGGUCGUGCAAGACAGAUGUGAAAUCCCCGGGC
rnacentral:rRNA from 1 species